AUGCUCGCCCGGUUCGAUUUGGGGGAGGGCAGACGGGAAUGGCGGGGGCGCAGAGCGUGCAGACGCUGGCGUGCUCACUGGGCGCGCUCCCGCCCGAGUUCGUGCGGUCGGAGCACGAACAACCGCGCACCACCAUGUUCCGCGGGCCACGCCGCCGGAGAUCCCCGUGGUCGACAUGUCCUCGCCAGGCGCCGCAUGGUGGAGGCGGCGAGGGAAUGGGGCAUCUUCCAGGUGGCGGGCCACGGCGUGCCGGCCGGGGCUGUGGCCGAGCUGGGGCGCGGGUUCUUCGCGCUGUCGCAGGAGGAGAAGCAACGGUACGCCAUGGACCCGGGCGAUGGCAGGACCGAGGGCUACGGCUCCACGCCGCGGAAGGGCGACCUCGGGGGCAAGAAGGCCUGGGCCUACUUCCUCUUCCACAACGUCGCGCCCCAAGCGGUGGGAAGCUUAGUACUACCUCCGUAA
rnacentral:rRNA from 1 species